GACGAACGCUGGCGGCGUGCUUAACACAUGCAAGUCGAACGGAAAGGCCCUGCUUUUGUGGGGUGCUCGAGUGGCGAACGGGUGAGUAACACGUGAGUAACCUGCCCUUGACUUUGGGAUAACUUCAGGAAACUGGGGCUAAUACCGGAUAGGAGCUCCUGCUGCAUGGUGGGGGUUGGAAAGUUUCGGCGGUUGGGGAUGGACUCGCGGCUUAUCAGCUUGUUGGUGGGGUAGUGGCUUACCAAGGCUUUGACGGGUAGCCGGCCUGAGAGGGUGACCGGCCACAUUGGGACUGAGAUACGGCCCAGACUCCUACGGGAGGCAGCAGUGGGGAAUAUUGCACAAUGGGCGGAAGCCUGAUGCAGCAACGCCGCGUGCGGGAUGACGGCCUUCGGGUUGUAAACCGCUUUCGCCUGUGACGAAGCGUGAGUGACGGUAAUGGGUAAAGAAGCACCGGCUAACUACGUGCCAGCAGCCGCGGUGAUACGUAGGGUGCGAGCGUUGUCCGGAUUUAUUGGGCGUAAAGGGCUCGUAGGUGGUUGAUCGCGUCGGAAGUGUAAUCUUGGGGCUUAACCCUGAGCGUGCUUUCGAUACGGGUUGACUUGAGGAAGGUAGGGGAGAAUGGAAUUCUGGUGGAGCGGUGGAAUGCGCAGAUAUCAGGAGGAACACCAGUGGCGAAGGCGGUUCUCUGGGCCUUUCCUGACGCUGAGGAGCGAAAGCGUGGGGAGCGAACAGGCUUAGAUACCCUGGUAGUCCACGCUGUAAACGGUGGGUACUAGGUGUGGGGUCCAUUCCACGGGUUCCGUGCCGUAGCUAACGCUUUAAGUACCCCGCCUGGGGAGUACGGCCGCAAGGCUAAAACUCAAAGGAAUUGACGGGGCCCCGCACAAGCGGCGGAGCAUGCGGAUUAAUUCGAUGCAACGCGUAGAACCUUACCUGGGUUUGACAUGGAUCGGGAGUGCUCAGAGAUGGGUGUGCCUCUUUUGGGGUCGGUUCACAGGUGGUGCAUGGCUGUCGUCAGCUCGUGUCGUGAGAUGUUGGGUUAAGUCCCGCAACGAGCGCAACCCCUGUUCACUGUUGCCAGCACGUUAUGGUGGGGACUCAGUGGAGACCGCCGGGGUCAACUCGGAGGAAGGUGGGGAUGACGUCAAGUCAUCAUGCCCCUUAUGUCCAGGGCUUCACGCAUGCUACAAUGGCUGGUACAGAGAGUGGCGAGCCUGUGAGGGUGAGCGAAUCUCGGAAAGCCGGUCUCAGUUCGGAUUGGGGUCUGCAACUCGACCUCAUGAAGUCGGAGUCGCUAGUAGUCGCAGAUCAGCAACGCUGCGGUGAAUACGUUCCCGGGGCU
rnacentral:rRNA from 1 species